rnacentral:rRNA from 1 species
GACGAACGCUGGCGGCGUGCCUAAUACAUGCAAGUAGAACGCUGAAGCUUGGUGCUUGCACCGAGCGGAUGAGUUGCGAACGGGUGAGUAACGCGUAGGUAACCUGCCUGGUGGCGGGGGAUAACUAUUGGAAACGAUAGCUAAUACCGCAUAAGAGUAGAUGUUGCAUGACAUUUGCUUAAAAGGUGCAAUUGCAUCACUACCAGAUGGACCUGCGUUGUAUUAGCUAGUUGGUGAGGUAACGGCUCACCAAGGCAACGAUACAUAGCCGACCUGAGAGGGUGAUCGGCCACACUGGGACUGAGACACGGCCCAGACUCCUACGGGAGGCAGCAGUAGGGAAUCUUCGGCAAUGGACGGAAGUCUGACCGAGCAACGCCGCGUGAGUGAAGAAGGUUUUCGGAUCGUAAAGCUCUGUUGUAAGAGAAGAACGAGUGUGAGAGUGGAAAGUUCACACUGUGACGGUAUCUUACCAGAAAGGGACGGCUAACUACGUG